AUGAGGCUCGUCCCCCAGUCCUCUGGAGGGUUAUGUGUCUGUUAUGAGGCUCGUCCCCCAGUCCUCUGGAGGGUUAUGUGUCUGUUAUGAGGCUCGUCCCCAGUCCUCUGGAGGGUUAUGUGUCUGUUAUGAGGCUCGUCCCCCAGUCCUCUGGUGGGUUAUGUGUCUGUUAUGAGGCUCGUCCCCCAGUCCUCUGGAGGGUUAUGUGUCUGUUAUGAAGCUCGUCCCCCAGUCCUCUGGAGGGUUAUGUGUCUGUUAUGAGGCUCGUCCCCCAGUCCUCUGGAGGGUUAUGUGUCUGUUAUGAGGCUCG
ensembl:lncRNA